CCAGCCGGCCGGACGGCCGUCGCCUGCGGAUUUCCGCUGGCGGAGGAAAGUCCGGGCUCCAUGCGGACACGGCGCCGGAUAACGUCCGGCGGGGGCGACCCUAGGGACAGCGCCACAGAAAGCAGACCGCCGGCCGCGAGGCCGGCACGGGUGAAAGGGUGCGGUAAAAGCGCACCGCGCCGGCGGCAACGUCGGCGGCAUGGCAAGCCCCGCCGGGAGCAAAACCGAAUAGGAGCGAUGCGCGCCGCCGCAAGGCGUCGCGGGGCCUGUCCGCCGGCCUUGUCGCUCGGGUUGGUUGCUUGAGGCGUCCGGCGACGGGCGCCCCAGAGGAAUGGUCGUCACGUCGGGAGCUCGCGCUCCCGGCCAUACAGAACCCGGCUUACAGGCCGGCUGGCUCU
rnacentral:RNase_P_RNA from 1 species